GAUGAACGCUAGCGGCAGGCCUAACACAUGCAAGUCGAGGGGGAGGUUACUUUCGGGUAACUGAGACCGGCGUACGGGUGCGUAACGCGUAUACAAUCUGCCUUUCACUGGGGGAUAGCCCGAAGAAAUUUGGAUUAAUACCCCAUAGUAUAGUAAUACGGCAUCGUGAUGCUAUUAAAGCUUAGGUGGUGAAAGAUGAGUAUGCGUUCUAUUAGCUAGUUGGAGAGGUAACGGCUCCCCAAGGCGAUGAUAGAUAGGGGUUCUGAGAGGGAUGUCCCCCACACUGGUACUGAGAUACGGACCAGACUCCUACGGGAGGCAGCAGUGAGGAAUAUUGGACAAUGGUCGGAAGACUGAUCCAGCCAUGCCGCGUGCAGGAGGAAGGUCUUAUGGAUUGUAAACUGCUUUUGUAAGGGAAGAAUAAGGGCUACGCGUAGUUUGAUGACGGUACCUUACGAAUAAGCAUCGGCUAACUCCGUG
rnacentral:rRNA from 1 species